rnacentral:rRNA from 1 species
UACGAAGGGUGCAAGCGUUACUCGGAAUUACUGGGCGUAAAGGGUGCGUAGGUGGUUGUUUAAGUCUGUUGUGAAAGCCCCGGGCUCAACCUGGGAAUGGCAAUGGAUACUGGACAGCUAGAGUGCGGUAGAGGGUAGUGGAAUUCCCGGUGUAGCAGUGAAAUGCGUAGAGAUCGGGAGGAACACCAGUGGCGAAGGCGGCUACCUGGACCAGCACUGACACUGAAGCACGAAAGCGUGGAGCAACAGG